ensembl:lincRNA Gm28616 predicted gene 28616
GGGACUGAGUAGCUCGGGGCCGUCCCAGUCUGAGGACUCCAAACCGCCAUCCCCCUCGCUGCAGACUUCGCUUACUGCUUAGCUGCAGGAGGAUGGAGCAGAGGUGGCUUCCCUACGUUUUCCACCACGAUGUAACGGAUGCUUAUAAAAAGUUGUAUUAAAGAGCUGACUACAGCCCAGAAUCGAUCAACCAAAGCGACCAGCCUCUCUGGAUAAAAUAGCUCUUCCCAAGGCCUUCUUCUUGAAAACAUAGCAUCUUUUUUUAGUACAUCCUGUGCUUUUUUGUUUCCCCCUUGAGAAUGGUGUUGUGUGAUAAAUGUGAAUUUAUUAGGGAGCAGAGUGGCACCUUCCAAAAUUACUUAGCUAUACUGACUGUUGCUGCCCCCGGAGCAGUCACUUAAAUUCAGACUCCUGUACUCAACCUCUCUUCUAGGAUGCUCU